rnacentral:rRNA from 1 species
AUACGGAGGGUGCAAGCGUUAAUCGGAAUUACUGGGCGUAAAGCGUACGUAGGCGGUUCGUUAAGUUAGAUGUGAAAGCCCCGGGCUUAACCUGGGAACUGCAUUUAAAACUGGCGGACUAGAGUUGAGUAGAGGGGAGUGGAAUUUCAGGUGUGGCGGUGAAAUGCGUAGAGAUCUGAAGGAACACCAGUGGCGAAGGCGACUCCCUGGACUCGAACUGACGCUGAGGUACGAAAGCGUGGGUAGCAAACGGGAUUAGAAACCCCAGUAGUCC